UAUCGGUUGCUUUAAUGGUAGGACAAAACUUCUUUCAGGACCCAGCUAUCGAGUUACAGGCGGGACGUGUUAUUAAUGUACAUGUAUUAAGGUCAAUCCCUUGGGCUGCAUAACAUUACUCUUGUAAAAGAAAUUUUGAUCUGAGCACGAGGAAAUACUUUCACAUGCACGUCUAUCACUCCAGCUGCAUUUGAUUUACUUGCUUGAGUGACGUGAAGAUGACAAAACCACUGUUACUUCUGUGUUAAGUUCCUUCAAGUAGAUUAGAAAUAGAUAGGAAACGCUAGAUAAUCAACAUCAAACAAGCUUCAGGUGUUCACCUACUACUUCAAUAAUCAACAUCAAACAAGCUUCAGGUGUUCAACUACUACUUCAAUAAUCAACAUCAAACAAGCUUCAGGUGUUCAACUACUACUUCAAUAAUCAACAUCAAACAAGCUUCAGGUGUUCAACUACUACUUCAAUAAUCAACAUCAAACAAGCUUCAGGUGUUCAACUACUACUUCAAUAAUCAACAUCUGUUCUGCUGAAUAGACAGUAAUAACUAACAAUCCUGCUGUAGCAAUGAUUCUGAUGCUGUGUUCAAUUUAGGAGAAAAGUGUAGAAACAAGAUAAAUAAAAAAUUGGGAAUUGUGAAUUUUUGUGCGAAUAUCCAAAUUAAACUAAACUAAAUUUAUUUUUAUGUUAUCAUUUCAAAAUUUAUUACUACUUGUAAUAUUGUGGAUAUUAUAUGAAUGAGUGUAUAGAAGUGAAACAAAAUAACGACAUCUGUAACUUAGAAGUUGUCAACCAAGACUGUAAAUAACAUAUUCCAAUAUACCUUUACAUAUGUUAUACCAAGAUACCCGAAGAUAAA